rnacentral:rRNA from 1 species
UACGUAGGGACCAAGCGUUGUUCGGAUUUACUGGGCGUAAAGGGCGCGUAGGCGGCGUGGCAAGUCACUUGUGAAAUCUCCGGGCUUAACUCGGAACGGCCAAGUGAAACUGCCAUGCUAGAGUGCAGAAGGGGCAAUCGGAAUUCUUGGUGUAGCGGUGAAAUGCGUAGAUAUCAAGAGGAACACCUGAGGUGAAGACGGGUUGCUGGGCUGACACUGACGCUGAGGCGCGAAAGCCAGGGGAGCAAACGGG